rnacentral:rRNA from 1 species
UACAGGGGGAGCAAGCGUUGUUCGGAUUUACUGGGCGUAAAGAGCUCGUAGGCGGCUUGUUGCGUCGACUGUGAAAACCCGCGGCUUAACUGCGGGCUUGCAGUUGAUACGGGCAGGCUAGAGUUCGGUAGGGGAGACUGGAAUUCCUGGUGUAGCGGUGAAAUGCGCAGAUAUCAGGAAGAACACCCGUGGCGAAGGCGGCUCUCUGGGACGGUACUGACGCUGAGACGCGAAAGCGUGGGGAGCGAACA